UCUUCCUACGGGGCGCAGCAGUAGGGAAUCUUCCACAAUGGACGAAAGUCUGAUGGAGUAACGCCGCGUGAGUGAAGAAGUAUUUCGGUAUGUAAAGCUCUAUCAGCAGGGAAGAAAAUGACGGUACCUGAGUAAGAAGCCCCGGCUAACUACGUGCCAGCAGCCGCGGUAAUACGUAGGGGGCAAGCGUUAUCCGGAUUUACUGGGUGUAAAGGGAGCGUAGACGGCGAUGCAAGUCUGAAGUGAAAGCCCGGGGCUCAACCCCGGGACUGCUUUGGAAACUGUAUGGCUGGAGUGCUGGAGAG
rnacentral:rRNA from 1 species